GUCUAGUUCCCCAACCAGGGAUAGAACCCUGGCCCCUGAACUGGGAUGGUGGAGUUACAGUCUUGGCUACUGGACCACCAGGGGAGUCCCAGGAGUUUGUGUUUUUGAAGAAUUGAUCCAUUUCCAUUUCUUUUUUUUAUUUUAAUUUUUGGCUUUGCAGCACAUCUUGGACGAUCUUAGUUCCCUGACCAGGGAUCAAACUAGGGCCCCCUGGUGGAGGUGCAGAGUCCUAACCACUGGACCACCAGGGAAGUCCCUGUCCGUUUCCAUUUCUAUUUAAAUUGUCACAUUCAUGUAAGUUACUGGUAGAAUUCCUGAUCCUUUUGAUGCCUGAAGGGUCUGUGGUGAUAUCCCCCAUUUCAUUCCUGAUACUCAUCAUUUGUUUCUUCUCCUUUUUUUCUCUGUCAAUCUUCUAAAGGUUUGUCAAUCAUACUUAUCUUUUCUUUCAUUAAUUUUUUCAUUAGUUUUUCUGCUUCCCCUGUCCUUGAUUUCUGGUCCCAUGUGUAUUGUUUCCUGCCUUUGGCUUGCUUUCAGUUCAUUUUGUGUUUCUUUUUCUACUUUCUGGAGGUGGGAGUUCAGGUAAUUGAUUUGAGACUUCUCUUCUCUGAGGUAUGCAUUUAGUGCUAUAAAUUUCCCUCACAGCACUGCUUUAGCUGUGUCCCACACAUUUUGCUAUGCUGUAUUUUCAUUUUCAUUUUGCUGACAAAUGUCUGUCUAGUUAAAGCUACGGUUUUUCCAGUAGUCAUAUAUGGAUGUGAAAGUUGGACCGUAAAGAAGGCUGAACACCAAAGAACUGAUGGUUUUGAACUGUGGUGCUGGAGAAGACUCUUGAGAGUCCCUUGGACUGCAAGGAGAUCCAACCAGUCCAUUCUAAAGGAAAUCAACCCUGAAUAGUCAUUGGAAGGACUGAUGCUGAAGCUGAAGCUCCAAUCCUUUGGCCACUUGAUGUGAAGAGCCCACUGGCAUUGGCAAUUUGCCCCUCGCCCAGAAAAAGUUAAAAGGACAGUGGAGAUAAUGAAGUAUUGUAAUGUGACGAUUUCUUAAUAACACAAGGAGGUGGUCCUUGGAAAUAUUCAAAUGAAGAGUAGGAGCCUUCCAUCUCCCCGGAGAAGAUAAGGCCCAGCCGGAGACCCAAAGAUGGUAAAGGAGCAUUUACCUUCCAUGUCCCUUUGGGUCACCCCUGCUCCCCCCAAACAGAGAUGUAUGUGCAAAGGCUUCUCCAGCAGUGGUGGGAAAGCGGGGAGAUGCUGAGGGGACUUGGAAAGAAAGAGGAAAGGAAGGGGCAAUGCAAG
ensembl:lncRNA